rnacentral:lncRNA from 1 species
GGGAGGCGGAGGAGCUCGGCGAGGGCCCAGAGAGAGGCGAAGAGGACGAGGAGAAGGCGGACGGGCCAGAGAGAGUUGAGGCCCAGGAGGCGAUUGCGCCGGCGGGAGCGGAAGGAGCGGAAGCGGAGGUGGAGGACGGCGGCGGUUGAGACGGCGGAGAGGAGGAGGAUGGCGGUGGAGAGGGCGGCGACGGUCUCAUCGAGGGUUUCGAUUGCUUUCAUCUCAUCUCAUCUCCCUCCCGCCCGGACGGACGGUAACCGACGACGACGACGACGAAUCUCGUCACCUUCUUUCCUUCCUCUGUUUCAUCUGCUGAUGAGUUUUCUCCCUCUAUUUUUUUUCUUUGUUUUUAUUUGCUUCUAUUUUUCGUGUGGCUGGGGAUUGGGGGCCAUCCUCCCUUUUUUUUUCUUUUUUGGUUAAAAAAAAAAUCCUCUUCCUUACGCAGGAAAGGUAUGGUUUGGGGACGGUGAGGAGUUGGGAAUUGGCAAAGGGACGGGGUCCGAGAAAUCCGGUGCAGGGAUGGCUGUGGGGCUUCCUAAUCUUCCGUUUUAGCUUGCAUUUAGCCUUUUAGAAUAGUUCCUAUCUGUCAAUUUUGGUUAAUUGUAUGCAUAAAUACAUAUGUAUGUACGAUCGACAUUUGGGAAAUUCUUGUCUCUGAAAACCCUCAAGCAAUGUUAUGCCGACAUGAUCUCAUCAUAUUAACUUUGUAAUGGUUUAGUAGUUACGAUCAAAAAGUUUUAAUAACCUGAUAAAACUAGAGAUGAAGAAAGCACAGGACAAUUCCAAGUUUAGAUGGUGUUUGGUUUCCUCUAUCUAGUUCUAGAUUUAUCAAGUCUAUUAUUUAGCUAUGUAUUCAGCUACUUGAAUUGAACAUCACCGACUACUGUUCUUCAACUGGCUAUUUUUUUUCUUUCUUUUUUUUUCCCCAAAAGCUGGACUUCGUCUGUGGAGGAAAGUUUAAGCAGCACUUCGUAGAGUCGGUCCAGCAAUUGAACUGGAGCGAGGUAACAUUAGAUUCGGAUUCCUUUGGAUUAGCAAAAAAAGGUUUAUGUGGAUAGUGCACGCAUGUGCAUCAACCUCCACUUAUAAAAUGGUGCAGAAAAUAAAAAAAUUAUGAUUUCUUUGGGGGAUUCGCUUUGGAGACUUGCGGAAUUCUCGGCUCCCUCCUACUCUAAUCUGCAUUUUGUGAUCCUCCUUUCUUUCUCUGCAACCAUAAUCCUGUACUUCUUUUAUAUACAUAUCUAUUCCUCUUAAUAAUAAAACGGGGCUGGUUUUAUAACCUCCCUUUUCCACAAACAAAUAAAUGCAAAGUGCUAAAACUUUAAUGUUCCAUCCAACUUUAGGAAAGCCUUUUGUAGCUAAACUCGGCCACCCCCCCACCCUUCUCUCUCAUGCAUUUGGUCAUGCAUUGUCAUGCGCUUAUUAGAGUCCUCAUUCCAUGCCAAGUAAAGGAAACAGCAAAUCAUAAUCAGCACUCAAGUAGUUCAACGUGGAGACUGUAGUCCAUAUAUGGUGCACUUUUGAUUCGCUACACGUUUUUUCUUACCCCUAUUAGAAAUGCUGAGGUUCUUCUUCUAUAUGUCAUAUGCUAGUUUAAUGACAAGACCAUGUCAUCUGAAUCCCCUAACAAUGACAAGACCAUGCUAUGGCUACCUCCUCCUUCCAGAGUGUGAAAAAUUAAUUUUGAUAUUACAGUUUUAGCACGUAGAUCAGCGGCCAGGUUUGUAAUGAGAGAUCAUCACAAUGACCAAAUGCUAAGAGAAGGUGGCAAAUUGUUGCCAUCAACUUCAAUGCUAUGUAUGCUGAUCUUUUGACUGUUUGAUUGGAUCUAUGUAAGACAUGAUAUUGUGUAUGGUUGGAUGUCGUCUAUCAUAAAAUGGAUAGCCGCAUGCAUUCUAUUCAAAUAAUCUAAAUACCUUUGGAAUUUAUAAUUUUUUUCUUUUUAAUAUUCUAACACAGUAUAGCCAUCUAUUUUAUGAUGGAUAACGUUUAACCAUGCACAAUACCCUGCAGUACUUUUUGAGUACCGCAAAGAGUCCAUUUCCGUUUAUGUAAUACAGUAGCAAUCUUUUAAUAAAUUUGGCUAGACAGUGAUUCUUUAACUGUUGUUAAAUGGCUUUAAAAUUUUUCUAUUAACAGGUGAGAGACACUCCCUGCUGAAGGACAUUUUGGCAUGGAAGACUAGAACUGGACAAAUCUUUGUGGCAUCCCAUGCUUAUCAUGAAGCUAAUUAGAUGGCUGAUUUUAUGGCAGACCAAGCCUUCCAUGGUGAUUUACUGUUUCUGUAGGUGCUCAGAUUCCCGCAGCUCUGAAUUAGAUGUUGCAGGCUGAUGGGUCGGGUGUUGGGUUUCUUAAUUAGGUGUUGAUGAUCUAUUAUUAUUCUGGGGUUGGUGUAGUGCUUUAGCUUGUUUACUCGGUUGUAUAUAUCUUAGCAAUGACUCAGUGAUAGCUUAGUAGGUUUCUGUAGUGUUUCUGUUCUGUACCCUAAACUAGACUUUCUUUAUCAAAAAAAAAAAAAACUAAGACUUUAUACUUAAGCUUC